GUCCAUGCCCUAAACGGUGCACACUAGGUCUUAGCGGAUUCGACCCCACUAGGGCCCAAGCUAACGCGUUAAGUGUGCCGCCUGAGGACUACGGUCGCAAGACUAAAACUCAAAGGAAUUGACGGGGGCCCGCACAAGCGGUGGAGCAUGUGGCUCAAUUCGAUGCAACGCGAAGAACCUUACCAGGCCUUGACAUGCACUAGACCGACUCUGAAAGGAGUCUUCCCUUCGGGGCUGGUGCACAGGUGCUGCAUGGCUGUCGU
rnacentral:rRNA from 1 species